GCCUUCGUGGUGUAACGGUAACACACUCGGCGCUCAUUCUAGAGAUCCGGGUUCAAGUCCCGGCGACAGCA
rnacentral:tRNA from 1 species